rnacentral:rRNA from 1 species
GAUGAACGCUGGCGGCGUGCCUAAUACAUGCAAGUCGAGCGAACGGACGAGAAGCUUGCUUCUCUGAUGUUAGCGGCGGACGGGGGAGUAACACGUGGAUAACCUACCUAUAAGACUGGGAUAACUUCGGGAAACCGGAGCUAAUACCGGAUAAUAUUUUGAACCGCAUGGUUCAAAAGUGAAAGACGGUCUUGCUGUCAGUUAUAGGUGGAUCCGCGCUGCAUUAGCUAGUUGGUAAGGUAACGGCUUACCAAGGCAACGAUGCAUAGCCGACCUGAGAGGGUGAUCGGCCACACUGGAACUGAGACACGGUCCAGACUCCUACGGGAGGCAGCAGUAGGGAAUCUUCCGCAAUGGGCGAAAGCCUGACGGAGCAACGCCGAGUGAGUGAUGAAGGUCUUCGGAUCGUAAAACUCUGUUAUUAGGGAAGAACAUAUGUGUAAGUAACUGUGCACAUCUUGACGGUACCUAAUCAGAAAGCCACGGCUAACUACGUG